AGUUAUACAUAUAUAUACAUGUUCUUUUUCUUUUUGGCCACACCCACAGCAUAUGAAAGAGUCAGGGAUUGACCCUGCACCACAGCAGCGACCCAGGCUGCAACAGUGACAGUGCUGGGUCCUUAACCCACAGUGCCGCAGAGGCACUCCAAGUAUACCUACUCUUUUUCAUAUUCUUUUCCAUGGCGGUUGAUUACAGGAUAUUGAUUGUUGCCUCUACUGUACAGUAGGUUGUUUAUGUUUACCUGUUUCAUAUAUAGUGGUUUGUAUCUGCUAAUCCCAAACUCCUAAUUUAUUUCCCCCGCCCCACGCACCCUUUUGGUAACCGUAAGUUUGUCUUCUAUUUCCCUUGCGCAAAUAAAAAUUAAUCUGAACAAUUCAGCUUGGCGGUCUUUUGGUGGUACCAAAGUGAAGUAUCAUUGACCCUUGAACAACCAAGGGUCAGGGGAACCCACCCUUCAUGCAGUCAAAACUCCCCGUAUAACUUACUGUGGGCCCUCCAUAGCCACCCAUCUCCCUUGAUAUCCACAGUUCUGCAUUCUUGGAUUCAGCCAACCACAGGCUGAGUAGUAGUGUUGUAUUUGCUAUUGAAGAAAUCCUCAUGGAAGUGGACCUGCGCAGUUCAGACUAGUAUUGUUCAAGGUUCACCUGUCCUUCCUCCCAUAUUGGGGAAGGCAGGACCUGUCUCUGUAGUCAUGAUGGAUGUGGAAGGGUGAGGUUUAUGGGUGGGUGGGCUUGGCAGUUGUUUUAAGAUGAGGAUCUUUCCAAGGUGACAACCACGGACAGCAUGAUUCCUUUCCUUCAAGACUCAGAUGACCUUGGAGUUCCCAUCGUGGCACAGUGGUUAACGAAUUCGACUAGGAACCAUGAGGUUGCAGGUUUGAUCCCUGGCCUCGCUUGGUGGGUUGAGGAUCCAGCAUUGCCGUGAGCUGUGGUGUAGGUUGCAGACACAGCUCGGAUCUCGCGUUGCUGUGGCUGUCGUGUAGUUUGCAGACUUGGCUUGGAUCCUAUAUAGCUGUGGCAUAGGCCAGCGGCUACAGCUCCGAUUAGACCCCUAGCCUGGGAACCUCCAUGUGCUGCAGGUGUGGCCCUAGAGAAGACAAAAAAAAAAUAAAAAACACUCGGAUGAUCUCUUCGUGUAAGAAGCCUUCCAGACUUUCCAUUUACUCAACCAUUGCCUGCAUCGGUCAGGCACUAUGCUAAGGACAAAGACAUAAAGUCAUAGUUCCUGUCCUCAUGACUCCUUAUUUUUAGCAGACGUCAAGAGACUACUCUAUGUAAGGUUCCACUCUAGGCCCCCAAGUGGUUUGCUGUCUAGUGGAGGAAAGAGAUAAGCUAACAAGCAAUUAUAAUACAAGGUCAUAAGUUUUACAGGAGGAAUUUAAAGGAGAGGCAUCUAGGGAGUUCUUCUCGUGGCCCAGCAGAAACGAAUCAGACCAGGAACCAUGAGGUUGAGGGUUUGAUCCCUGGCCUCACUCAGUGGGUUAAGGAUCUGGCAUUGCUUGAGCAGUGGUGUAGGUCACAGAUGUGGCUUGGAUCCUGUGUGGCUGUGGCUGUGGUGUAGGCCAGCAGCUGUAGCUCCAAUUUGGCCCCUAGCCUGGAAACCUCCCUAGGCUGUGGGUACGGCCCUAAAAAGCAAAAAAAAAAAAAAAAGGAGUUUUGCCUAAGGUGGUCAGCAAAGGCUUCUGGAGGAAAUGAUAUCUGCCCAUAAACUUAAAGGACUGAGUACAGCUAGGUAAUAAAGGAUGAGGGGCUUGGGGAAAUGGGAAUUGUCUUCUGAACGGAGGGGAAUGGUUUAUGUACAGAGUCCUGGGGCCAGAUGGAGCAUGGUGACGUGGGGGUACUAUGUACACUGAGUUUUUCAGCCAGGUGCUGGUGAGGCAUGGGCAGAUGGAAGGGUUACACAUGGCGUUACCAUAUGGACUUUAUCUUGCUGGCAGUAAGGAUCCAUUGGCUGAUCAUUUUGUAAUUAUUAGGGGUCGGGGGGAAACCACAUCGAAUUUGAACUUCGAAACAUGCACCUGGCCUCCUUGUGGAGCAUGGCUUGAGGGAGCUGAGAUGAGAAAUGAUGAGAACAGUCAGAAGUGUUGGGGAGGGAGAUGCUCAUGACCUUACUGAGUGAGUGGUGGAGCAGAAGAACAGACUGACAGGUGAGGUUCAGGAACCGAUAACCUUGGUGUUUGGAUGGAGAAGCUGAAAGAGUCAAGGAACACACCUAGGGUGCUAUAGACACUCGUGUCUGCCUUUGUUCUAGCACAUGUCCCAUGGUGUUUUAAGUGUUCGUAUCUUCGAUUCCUGAGUUUGACUCUACAUUACUUGAGGAUUCACCCUUGUAUCCACUGCACCCAUUGUGGAAGGGCAACAUGAACAUGCGUGGGAGGUCAAGCUAGGGGAUUGAUGGAGCAAAGUUGUGUGCAUGUGGCCCACAGGAAGGGACUGCUGAGCAGAGCACUGAGUGUGUGGUGGCGCCUCUCGUCCUCAGCUCUUUGCUCCCGUCUUUUGUGGGCUUUGAAAGCAAGCUGGACAGAAUGACUAGGGGCACACUGGACCUCAGCUGAAGCCCGGGGAGCUUUUCAGGACUGAAGCAGAAGCUGCUUGGUGUGUGGCUUUGUGCUUUUGUGCAUUCACACCACUGUGUGUGGACUUGCAUUGAAAGUCUGCAGUGUGGAGACAGG
rnacentral:lncRNA from 1 species